rnacentral:rRNA from 1 species
GUGGGGAAUAUUGGACAAUGGGCGCAAGCCUGAUCCAGCCAUGCCGCGUGAGUGAUGAAGGCCUUAGGGUUGUAAAGCUCUUUCAGUGGGGACGAUAAUGACGGUACCCACAGAAGAAGCCCCGGCUAACUUCGUGCCAGCAGCCGCGGUAAUACGAAGGGGGCUAGCGUUGUUCGGAUUUACUGGGCGUAAAGCGCACGUAGGCGGAUCGUUAAGUCGGGGGUGAAAUCCUGGAGCUCAACUCCAGAACUGCCUUCGAUACUGGCGAUUUUGAGUCCGGAAGAGGUGAGUGGAACUCCUAGUGUAGAGGUGGAAUUCGUAGAUAUUAGGAAGAACACCAGUGGCGAAGGCGGCUCACUGGUCCGGUACUGACGCUGAGGUGCGAAAGCGUGGGGAGCAAACAGGAUUAGAAACCCGUGUAGUCC